rnacentral:lncRNA from 1 species
UUUCUCUUGUUUUUUGUUUUAUUUUUCUUCCUGAAGUAUACAAUAAUGCACAUGGGGUGGGAAAAGAAUGAGGACCCUUAGUGGUUAGUUUAAGCCAAUGUUGUGAUUUACUUUCAAACAUUUGAAUAUGCUAAAUAUUCAGAUAUAGUUUUUACAUCUCUAUAACCUGUAGUGCAGCUUAAUAAAUUAGUUUUCUUUUUGUUACUGUAUAUUUCUAAAGUGAAAGGAUGACUUUAAUUUUAGGGUUCUUUGGUAUGUGAGAGUUUGUGAUCAAAUAUAUGUAUG